GAUUGCUCUUAACAUCUGAAAAGAGGAACUUCUCAGGGAAACUGGUUUGAGGGCUUACCAGAAAGGGGACUAAGCUCUGUGAGGGCUUUGAGUGGUGACAGCCUGGUCCCCAUGAAUGGUACUUACUAGACAGCUACAAGAAGUCAAGGUUGUUGAGGUACUACGUGCUCUUCUAAAGAAGAGCUGCAGCAGUUUGAUCUCUGCAGGAGCCCUGAGAUGGACCCCUUAUCCAGGUGAUGGGAGAAGAGGGUCCUGGUCUGAGAAGGUCUUAGUGGGGAUAGGCCUGGAUGGAGAUGGAUGGACUCAGGAAAGAGGGCAGAUGACGGUCUAAAUGCUGCUGUUGAUUGGCAAAUUUUGAUUCCUGUUUCCUGAUUGGUACCAUAACACUGAUAUUCAAGGCUGUUGGAGUGUUGGGGAGAAGGGAAGAACAUGACACACUGGAUUACUGGAGCCAUGUUUCCCAUCCUCCCCCUGCAUCAACUGCUACCAUAGCUAUAUACAGGACAAUGGUGGAAGUCAAUAUCCGUUCAUGAUGGUUUGUGGGAAAGAAUCCAGAGGUGCAGAAUCCAAGCCUGUGAGCUCCUUGGAGUAGAGACCAUCCUUCUUGAAUGCUCAGAAAGCACGGAGUGCAGAGGUGUGAUAUAAAUUAUCAUCACCAUGGCAGAUCCCAAAGAGGCAUCACCUCCUUGUGGACUGAGUGCCAUCCAGCUCAAUAUGCAGGAUCCCAGAAUGGCCCUUUCACAAGACUUCAUUGGUCAUUUUCACCUCAGUGGCCAUUUGGGCCACAAGGACACAGGUGGUCAAUUUCAGAAUAAACUCCCUCAUGAUGUGAAGGUACAGACCCUGGAGGGUGCUAUUAUAAAUAAUACUCAUCAUCACUUUUUUUUCCCCCCAGAUGCUGAAAAUUUGGUAUGUUGUCUUUUUAGAUUUCAUCUUUCUUGUAAAGUAACAUCAUGGCUAUUGGUGAGAUUCUGUGCCGCGGCUCUGAGGCCCAGCACAGAGCUCUCAGCUCGGGAAGAGGGGCUGGGGGAGGGGUUCCUCCUUUGUGCCCAGGCUGCUCUGGGUCCUCCAGCUUAAUUUAGAAAGCUCUGGGGGGCUGUCUAAACUACAUCAGCCUCCUGGGCUACAGUACUGCCCAGAAUAUCUGUAGCAUCGUACACUGCAACCUUGCCCUGACACGCCCUUCGCUAUCCUGCCAGGCCUCCUACACUAGAGUUGGUGGUGGGGGUAAUUAGAGGGCAGCCUUACAGCUGUCAACCACAGUGCCUGCAGCAGGGAAAUCCUCCCCUGACUGGAUAUGAGGAUUUUAGGGCCCCUUUCUGCCAUGCCAGUCUCUUUAUCUGAUGUAAAGGAGCUGGAGUGGGAACGAGAUGGGGGGUGAGCUCACCUAUGUAUACUGAUAUACUCCAUGUGGACAGCUGGACAUUGCAAUAGAUAUUAAAUGUGUGUCAUUUUAAAUGGUGUUUAAAUGCCAUUAAAAAUGUGGGGAAAGUAAACCUAAUUUCCCCAUUUCUUGUUUGCUUUUAACUUAUAAUUAUUGUAUUGUUUAUUUCCAAAAAAAAGAAGAGAAAAUAACAUGCAUUCUAACCAAGCAAAAAGACAGUUCUUACCCUUGAAACCAAACGCUUCAUCAAGACCAGGCGAGAUGGCCCUUACCUGGCCUUCAGUCUGACAAUGAGAAGGUGCCAGUGUCUGGCAGGAACCUGAUUUGCUAAAGAGUCAGUGCUAGUGCUGUGAUCAGAUCUUGACAGAAUGUUUCCAUAAUGUUUGAUUUACUGUGAUCCGGGUUAUUAAUUUGACAUUCAGCCUUUAUGGAUGAUGCCAAAAUGAAGUCUGUGACUCUGCAUCUUAUAUUUCUAGCAAUGGCAAGGAAGACAAUGGGUAUAUUACUAAUGCAAUGGCUUAGUGAGGAUGAGUAAAAUGGUGUCCCUUUCUAAAUACUAGCACUAGGUGGUGCUAAUAAACCUUGCACAGAAUGGUUAAAUCUGAGUUACACAAAAUGUUAUGAAACAAAAAUCUAAACUAACA